rnacentral:rRNA from 1 species
CGGAGUUAUGAAGUUUUCGGACGGAAUAACUUAUUGGCGGACGGGUGAGUAACGCGUGGGUAACCUGCCUCAUACAGGGGGAUAACAGUUGGAAACGGCUGCUAAAACCGCAUAAGCAUACAGUGCCGCAUGACACGGUGUGAAAAUAUUAAUAGGUAUGAGAUGGGCCCGCGUCUGAUUAGCUAGUUGGUGGGGUAAUGGCCUACCAAGGCGACGAUCAGUAGCCGGCUUGAGAGAGUGACCGGCCACAUUGGGACUGAGACACGGCCCAAACUCCUACGGGAGGCAGCAGUGGGGAAUAUUGCACAAUGGGGGAAACCCUGAUGCAGCGACGCCGCGUGAGUGAAGAAGUAUUUCGGUAUGUAAAGCUCUAUCAGCA